AUUGAACGCUGGCGGCAUGCUUUACACAUGCAAGUCGAACGGUAACAGGGAGCUUGCUCCGCUGACGAGUGGCGAACGGGUGAGUAAUGCAUCGGAACAUGCCCAGUCAUGGGGGAUAACUACGCGAAAGCGUAGCUAAUACCGCAUACGCCCUGAGGGGGAAAGUGGGGGGUCUUAGGACCUCACGUGAUUGGAGUGGCCGAUGUCAGAUUAGCUAGUUGGUGAGGUAAAGGACUCACCAAGGCGACGAUCUGUAGCGGGUCUGAGAGGAUGAUCCGCCACACUGGGACUGAGACACGGCCCAGACUCCUACGGGAGGCAGCAGUGGGGAAUUUUGGACAAUGGGCGCAAGCCUGAUCCAGCCAUGCCGCGUGAGUGAAGAAGGCCUCGG
rnacentral:rRNA from 1 species